GUUUAUUCAUCAUCUCCUUGCUGCUAUCAACAUGAUGCGCGAUGAAAGAACAGAGAUUACCAAUGAUGAUUUGUUACAAGAGCUGCACAAAUAGAAGAAAGAGGAAUGCUUGAUAAUAGAGGAAACAGCCCCGAGAUCUGGAAAAUGAAGCUGCAAUGGCCAUAGUUGCUGUCAAUUUCCCGUAUCUUAGAUAUAUCUAUCGAGUUUGUAUGUUCUGAUCUUUCAGUUUCAGUUUCAGCUUCAGUUUGUAUGAUCUUUCGAGUUUCUGUUUCAGUUUCAGUUUCAGUUUCAGUUUCAGUUUCAGUUUCAGCUGCAAUGCUCGAUCUGCUGCACGAACCUUAGUUCUUGGUGGUCUUUCUGAGAAGCAUUUUGGCUUGAACAGUUUCUGGAUAGAGAUAGAUUUUUUUUAUUGCCCAACACUUUAUUUUCUCAAUUGUGUUUUAGCAGUUCCACUUUUGGUUUGAAUCAGUACUCUGAUUGGACCAUAUUGUGAUUGUGUACAUAAUAUCUUAUUGGUAGGUAUGAUAAUCUUUGGUUAAUUAUGUAA